UACGUAGGGUGCAAGCGUUGUCCGGAAUUAUUGGGCGUAAAGAGCUCGUAGGCGGUUUGUCACGUCGGAUGUGAAAACCCGGGGCUUAACCCCGGGCCUGCAUUCGAUACGGGCUGACUAGAGUUCGGCAGGGGAGACUGGAAUUCCUGGUGUAGCGGUGGAAUGCGCAGAUAUCGGGAGGAACACCGGUGGCGAAGGCGGCCUUCUGGUCGGAUACUGACGCUGAGACGCGAAAGCGUGGGGAGCAAACAGG
rnacentral:rRNA from 1 species